rnacentral:rRNA from 1 species
GAUGAACGCUGGCGGCGUGCCUAAUACAUGCAAGUCGAGCGAACAGAUGAGGAGCUUGCUCCUCUGACGUUAGCGGCGGACGGGUGAGUAACACGUGGAUAACCUACCUAUAAGACUGGGAUAACUUCGGGAAACCGGAGCUAAUACCGGAUAAUAUAUUGAACCGCAUGGUUCAAUAGUGAAAGACGGUUUUGCUGUCACUUAUAGAUGGAUCCGCGCCGCAUUAGCUAGUUGGUAAGGUAACGGCUUACCGAGGCAACGAUGCGUAGCCGACCUGAGAGGGUGAUCGGCCACACUGGAACUGAGACACGGUCCAGACUCCUACGGGAGGCAGCAGUAGGGAAUCUUCUGCAAUGGGCGAAAGCCUGACGGAGCAACGCCGCGUGAGUGAUGAAGGUCUUCGGAUCGUAAAACUCUGUUAUUAGGGAAGAACAAAUGUGUAAGUAACUAUGCACGUCUUGACGGUACCUAAUCAGAAAGCCACGGCUAACUACGUG